UGAGGUAGUAGGUUGUAUAGUUUAAGGGGCAGACAUUCAUCUUCCCUUAUCGGAGAUAAGCUAUGCAGCCAACUGCCUUUC
rnacentral:pre_miRNA from 1 species